GCUGGCGGCAGGCCUAACACAUGCAAGUCGAGCGCGCUCUUCGGAGUGAGCGGCGGACGGGUUAGUAACGCGUGGGAACGUACCCAGAUCUAAGGAAUAGCCACUGGAAACGGUGAGUAAUACCUUAUACGCCCUUCGGGGGAAAGAUUUAUCGGAUUUGGAUCGGCCCGCGUUAGAUUAGGUAGUUGGUGGGGUAAUGGCCUACCAAGCCUACGAUCUAUAGCUGGUUUUAGAGGAUGAUCAGCAACACUGGGACUGAGACACGGCCCAGACUCCUACGGGAGGCAGCAGUGGGGAAUCUUAGACAAUGGGCGCAAGCCUGAUCUAGCCAUGCCGCGUGAGUGAUGAAGGCCUUAGGGUCGUAAAGCUCUUUCGCCUGUGAUGAUAAUGACAGUAGCAGGUAAAGAAACCCCGGCUAACUCCGUGCCAGCAGCCGCGGUAAUACGGAGGGGGUUAGCGUUGUUCGGAAUUACUGGGCGUAAAGCGCACGUAGGCGGAUUAGAAAGUUAGGGGUGAAAUCCCGGGGCUCAACCUCGGAAC
rnacentral:rRNA from 1 species